GCUGGGCACUGUGGUGUGUGCCUGUAGUCCCACCUAUUCAGGAGGCUGAGGUGGGAGGAUCACUUGAGCCCGGGAGUUCUGGGCUGUAGUGUGCCAUGCCGAUCAGGUGUCUGCACUAAGUUUGACAUCAGUAUGGUGACCUCCUGGGAGUGGAGGACCACCAGGUUGCCUAAGGAGGGGUAAACUGGCCCAGGUCGGAAACAGAGCAGGUCAAAACUCCUGUGCUGAUCAGUAGUGGGAUUGCGCCUGUGAAUAGCCACUGCACUCCAGCCUGGGCAACAUAGCGAGACCCUGUCUCU
rnacentral:SRP_RNA from 1 species